rnacentral:rRNA from 1 species
AUGAACGCUGGCGGCGUGCCUAAUACAUGCAAGUCGAGCGAACAGACGAGGAGCUUGCUCCUCUGACGUUAGCGGCGGACGGGUGAGUAACACGUGGAUAACCUACCUAUAAGACUGGGAUAACUUCGGGAAACCGGAGCUAAUACCGGAUAAUAUAUUGAACCGCAUGGUUCAAUAGUGAAAGACGGUUUUGCUGUCACUUAUAGAUGGAUCCGCGCCGCAUUAGCUAGUUGGUAAGGUAACGGCUUACCAAGGCGACGAUGCGUAGCCGACCUGAGAGGGUGAUCGGCCACACUGGAACUGAGACACGGUCCAGACUCCUACGGGAGGCAGCAGUAGGGAAUCUUCCGCAAUGGGCGAAAGCCUGACGGAGCAACGCCGCGUGAGUGAUGAAGGUCUUCGGAUCGUAAAACGCUGUUAUUAGGGAAGAACAAAUGUGUAAGUAACUAUGCACGUCUUGACGGUACCUAAUCAGAAAGCCACGGCUAACUACGUG